ensembl:lncRNA
AAGUCGAGCAAAUCCAAUUUCAAGUUCAGCAGUGGCUGUGGGGAAAAGAGACAACAUUCCUUAUGUUACUUUUACAGCAUACAGGAAGAAAUAAAGCAUUGUAAGAACAUUUUACAUGACUUGAGGUCAUUCAUUCAGGUCUCUAACCUGAAUGAGGCUUCAAAAAUUCCAAGGACAUCUAACAAGGGAAGAGCUGGGCAAAAGGAAGAAACACAUUUUGUGCACAUUUGCUUAUCAGUCAGCAGCAUUUGUAAAGCUAGCGACAGACGUUCUGGAGGCUACACAGCGAACAUCUUCUGGGACUCCACACGACUCCAGUGGCCCUUAGCAGGGCUUGUUAGCACAGCUCCUGCAGAGCUCUUCAGCCUCGAGUAUUUGCUUUCCUUAAACGUUCAAAGCUGUGCUUUAUUGGAACACUACAGCUACAGAGCUGUAGAGCAGUCCCUGCAAAGCAGUGACUCUGGAGGAACAGCUAUCACGAAGCAGGUGGAUUUCCUCCUUGGAUGCCUGGCCUCAAAUUGUAGAGGGUGUUUUGUGCCCCAUGUUGAAAGUAAUGAACUCAUGUUUGCCUAAACACUACUGAGCAAUCUCCUCCUGAGGAAAUGUUGUCUUUUGUCCCUGAUCGUGUGCUUCUGACAUAUUCAAAACAAGACUGCCAACAUCUAGGCUACAAAGACAAGCAAGAAAAAUCAUACAAUCGUAGCAAGAAAAGUAAAAAUCUAACAGCAAAGAACAUGUAUGGUAUGGGUUAGUACUGAAUGCAAUCCAUGUACAGGGAAGGAAGGGAUGGCUGAAAUCUAUAAAGAUCUAUAAAAAUCUGGGGGCUUCUUUGAUGUUUUUGCUGGAAAUUAACUCUAGUGAAGGGCAACUUCAUCUUCAACCAAGUGUUUCUGUUUGAGCCAGUGCAUGAAUUUUCUAUUUGUUUUUUCCUAGGCAAGUGCAUAACAUUCUAUGCAGUAUUUUGGGAAGCAGGAACUUUUCAAAUUCAAGUCUAAAAUGGAGAGCUAGCAGAAAAACAUCUCUGUGCUUAGCAGAGGAAGUUGGAAGUAAUGGCUUGAAAGCUGUCAAGACAUAGAAACAGUCACCUUUUUCCUUUAAAACACUCCCAAUGUGAUGAGACAUUACCUUUUUCCAUUUCCUCUGAGAGUUUUUCCUCCUGUUCCUGCUGUACCUAGAAUUAUACAUCAAAUAUACAGUUAAGACAUAAUAUGACUCAAAUGUAACUGCUACAACUCCUAAAACAUUCUUACACCCCACAGACAACGUGAUAAAACCUAAAAGUAUCAUGGCCAAUGGAGAUGAUGGCCUGUGGUGGCCAAGAAGAUGCCAAAGGCCUUGGACCACGUGAGCUGUGUGGAGAGGCUGAGAGAGCUGUGCCUGUUUCUUUCCUGGAGUAGACAAAGCUCAGGCCACCUUGUCUGUGUGUAUUAACUACCAGGAGGGUGGAGUAACAGAGAUGGAGCCAAACUCUUCUCAGUGGUGCCAAAAGAACAACUCCCCCCAAGCCUCAAGUAUUUUCCAAGCAUGGACAAGCAGCAGUAAAAUCCUGGGGAAAGGGAUCCCCCUAGAACAUGAAAGGAGACAUGGGUAGUGGAUGGAAGCAGGAAAUCUAAGGCCUAGACCAAAAGACGACCUAAAGCAGCACUAAUCCUCCCCCCCCCCCCCCCCCCCCCCCCCCCCCCCCCCCCCCCCCCCCCCCCCCCCCCCCCCCCCCCCCCCCCCCCCCCCCCCCCCCCCCCCCCCCCCCCCCCCCCCCCCCCCCCCCCC